rnacentral:rRNA from 1 species
GACGAACGCUGGCGGCGUGCCUAAUACAUGCAAGUAGAACGCACAGUUUAUACCGUAGCUUGCUACACCAUAGACUGUGAGUUGCGAACGGGUGAGUAACGCGUAGGUAACCUGCCUGGUAGCGGGGGAUAACUAUUGGAAACGAUAGCUAAUACCGCAUAAUAUUAAUUAUUGCAUGAUAAUUAAUUGAAAGGUGCAAUUGCACCACUACCAGAUGGACCUGCGUUGUAUUAGCUAGUAGGUGAGGUAACGGCUCACCUAGGCGACGAUACAUAGCCGACGUGAUAGGAUGAUCGGCCACACUGUGACUGAGACACGGCCCAUACUCAUACGGGAGGGAGCAGUAGGGCAACUUCGGAAAGGGACGAAAGUCUGACCGAGCAACGCCGAGUGAGUGCAGAAGGUUUUCGGAUCGUAGAGCUCUGUUGUAAGAGAAGAACGGGUGUGAGCGUGGAAAGUUCACACUGUGACGGUAACUUACCAGAAAGGGACGGCUAACUACGUG